rnacentral:rRNA from 2 species
CUUUUGCUAGUUCUAAAAAUACUAGUGAAUAAGGGGUGGGCAAGUUCUGGUGUCAGCCGCCGCGGUAAAACCAGCACCUCAAGUGGUCAGGAGGAUUAUUGGGCCUAAAGCAUCCGUAGCCGGCUCUUCAAGUUUUCGGUUAAAUCUAUACGCUUAACGUAUAGGCUGCCAAAAAUACUGUAGAGCUAGGGAGUGGGAGAGGUAGACGGUACUCGGUAGGAAGGGGUAAAAUCUUUUGAUCUAUUGAUGACCACCUGUGGCGAAGGCGGUCUACCAGAACAUGUUCGACGGUGAGGGAUGAAAGCUGGGGGAGCAAACCGGAUUAGAUACCCGGGUAGUCCCAGCUGUAAACGAUGCAGACUCGAUGAUGUAUUAGCAUAUAGCUGAUACAGUGUCGCAGGGAAGCCGUUAAGUCUGCCGCCUGGGAAGUACGUACGCAAGUAUGAAACUUAAAGGAA